UAAGAGUUUGAUCAUGGCUCAGGACGAACGCUGGCGGCGUGCUUAACACAUGCAAGUCGAACGGAAAGGCCCCUUCGGGGGUACUCGAGUGGCGAACGGGUGAGUAACACGUGGGUAAUCUGCCCUGCACUUCGGGAUAAGCCUGGGAAACUGGGUCUAAUACCGGAUAGGACCACUUGGCGCAUGCCUUGUGGUGGAAAGCUUUUGCGGUGUGGGAUGGGCCCGCGGCCUAUCAGCUUGUUGGUGGGGUGACGGCCUACCAAGGCGACGACGGGUAGCCGGCCUGAGAGGGUGUCCGGCCACACUGGGACUGAGAUACGGCCCAGACUCCUACGGGAGGCAGCAGUGGGGAAUAUUGCACAAUGGGCGCAAGCCUGAUGCAGCGACGCCGCGUGGGGGAUGACGGCCUUCGGGUUGUAAACCUCUUUCAGCAGGGACGAAGCGCAAGUGACGGUACCUGCAGAAGAAGCACC
rnacentral:rRNA from 1 species